rnacentral:rRNA from 1 species
UACGAAGGGGGCUAGCGUUGUUCGGAAUUACUGGGCGUAAAGCGCGCGCAGGCGGUCUUCCAAGUCAGUGGUGAAAGCCUGGAGCUCAACUCCAGAACUGCCAUUGAAACUGUUAGACUUGAGUACGAGAGAGGUGAGUGGAAUUCCCAGUGUAGAGGUGAAAUUCGUAGAUAUUGGGAAGAACACCGGUGGCGAAGGCGGCUCACUGGCCCGGUACUGACGCUGAGACGCGAAAGCGUGGGGAGCAAACAGG